AAUCAAAUCGAAGUCGCACUUUAUUGGACAUGUGUCGCGCUUUUCAGCAGUGAUUAAUGAACGAAUGAUUUGAUUAGCAGCUGCAAUGCAAUGGUAGUCGUUGGCGUUACUUGACGACAAGGAGGAAGAAAGGAAGGAACGAGGGACUCUGAGCCUGAUGAUGGACAAGGUGUGUCAGUCUGUGCCUCACUGACCUAACCUAACCCACCCCUUAAUUUGAAGUUACAGUUUCACCAGAUCGAUGCGAUGUGAGAGAUGUUCUUCCUCCUUCACUUAAACAUAUGAUUGAUUGAUUGAUUGAUUAUUACUACUAUUAUUAACUUGUCCUUGCCCUGCCCUGCCCUGCCCUGCCCUUUAAUUGAUGAUCACUUUCUCCUCCAACACCAACCUUGUUUUUCCAUUUAACCUCUUCCUCCUUUCUCUCCUCUCCUCCGCAGACAGACAGACAGACGCAGGUAGAUUGUGCUCAACUUUGCUUGCUUCUUAUCUCCUACAACAUUUGUCCCGAGGCCCAGGAUUAAUUUCAAAAUGCGCGUAAUUCGAAUAUCUAGCUCGACACUCCACCGAUUUACUUAUUCCCUGAAAUCUGCACCUACAGUUGACAUAAGGCCAACUUUCACAUGUACAACCAGCAGAUUCCAUCACUCUACAGAAUCGCCGUAUGUGCAGAGCUCCCUUGUUACUCACUAUUCCACUGGGGCUCGCUAUGAAUCGAAUUUUGCGAAUAAGCUGUUGGGGAACUCAGGAUUUCCCAGGUUUUCUCUUCUUGGAAUCGACCCUGUGGUUCAUCGCCGCUUCUUUUCAUCUGCUAGCGAAUCCAAAGGCAACGCUGCUCAAGUCUCAGAGAUUAUAGCCGAGUCCAGUGCACGUGGUACUAGUGCUAAUGUGACUGAUGGUGGUGUUGGAGGGGAUAACUGGGUCCUGAAAUUUAAGCAACUCUGGCAAUCUACCGUUGGGGCUCUCAAGUACACAGAAGAGAAGGCCAAAGAGGUGUCUAAUGAAGUGGCACCUCAUCUUCAACAAUGGCUUGACGGCCAUCCAUAUCUUAAAGAUGUAAUUGUCCCAGUAGGUGGUACAUUGAUGGCAGCAUUGUUGGCAUGGUCUUUGUUGCCGAGACUAUUUAGGAAGUUCCAUAAAUACUCAGUGGAAGGCCCGGGUGCUUUGUUAUCCAGGAGCUCAUUGUGGGGACCUGCUCCUUAUGAGAACAGUUUCUGGGGUGCAUUGGAGGUUCCAGUUCGAUAUUUUAUAACCCUCAUGGCAAUCUUGGAAAUUGGUGAAAUGGUUGCACCAAAUGUAGUUGCUUCACAAUAUGGUGCUCAGGCAUGGAGGGGUGCUCUUGUAGUUUCACUUCUCUGGUUUCUGAAUCGGUGGAAAACAAAUCUCAUUGCCCGAGCUUUGGCUGCUAAAAGCAUUGAACGGAUCCAGAGAGAUAAGUUGCGAACUUUGGAUAGAAUAUCAUCAGUUGGACUUUUUGUCAUUGGGACAAUGGCAUUAGCUGAGGCAUGUGGAGUUGCAGUGCAGUCGAUUCUGACUGUUGGAGGUGUAGGAGGAGUUGCCACUGCUUUUGCGGCUCGUGACAUACUUGGAAAUGUUCUUAGUGGUUUGUCUGUUCAGAUUGCACAGCCAUUUUCAGUUGGUGACACGAUCAAAGCUGGGUCUGUAGAAGGCCAAGUGGUGGAAAUGGGUCUGACAACUACAUCAUUGCUGACUUCAGAAAAAUUUCCCGUCAUUGUCCCAAAUUCUUUGUUUUCCAGCCAGAUUAUUGUGAAUAAAUCGAGGGCCAAAUGGCAUGUGUUGGUCAAGAAGAUCCCUUUGCAAGUAGAUGAUAUAGACAAGAUUUCCCAAAUAACAGAGGAUAUUAAGUCCAUGCUCAGAUCUAAUUCAAAUGUAUUCUUGGAAAUGGAGGCCCCUUAUUGUUACCUUUCUCAGAUUGAAAGGUCGUACGCUGAGCUCACAAUUGGAUGCAACCUGAAGCAAAAGAAUGUGGAAGCAGAAGAAGAUGUUCUUCUAGAGGCGAUUAGGAUCAUCAAACAACAUGGCACUCAGCUGGGUAGACGACAUGAAGACUCCAUGAGUUGACAUGGACAGGAAGAGUUGUAGUGUUUUUUGAGGUUAGAUUUUUACCUUUAGCAGCACCACAGGUUUACAUGAGGAGAUACAAAAUGCGACAAUGCAGACUGGUAGUGGUAGUUUGUUUGCUGGAAAUAGAAAGAAAUCUUUGGAAGCAUUAUCUUUGUUUGUUUGUUUGUUUUGGAAGUGAGAUACUUGAGAUUUGUGGUGUUGAAAUGAAAUUCAUCAGGCAGGCAGGCAGGCAGGCAGACAGACACAUUGUGAAAGAGCGCCUAGCCUGAUGUUUGUUAGGAAUGGAACAGAACCUAGAGACAGAGACAGAGACAGAGACAGAGACAGAGAAGCUCUCGUGAGUGAGUGAAGCAGAUGAUGAUCAAGGCAAUGGCGAUGGCAAUUCAUCAGGUGCAGCAACUUGUGGGGGUGGGGGUGGGGGUGCUGCUGCUGCUGCUGCUGAAUGCAGGAGGAGGAGGAGUUGAGUGCAGGAAAGGCCGUGUGUUGGAGUCCUUUGAUUACUCUGCCAUCAACUGCAGGGCUCACAGUGCUUCAAUAGAGGAGUUCGGAGGAGUCGGCGAUGGGGUCAC